AAAUAUCAUGGUCUCUGAGUCAGCAUCUAAUCACCAGGGAAUGGUCAAAAGUGAAAUCAGCAGGCCUCAACCUUAAACCCACUGAGUUAGAAGCUGGGGGUGGGGCACCUGGAGCUCCAUAGCUUGUGCUUUAGCAGAACCUUCAGGUGAUGCCAUCGCCCCUUCCCUUUUCCCAUAGGCCCUGCAUUCUCUCUCUGCUGUCUGACUUCUCUGGUCUCUCCUCAUCUGGUCUGGAUGAGCAACCAUGCAGACGGCUCGCCCCUCGCACUCACGCACGCCUGAAUGAGAGCAACCCAUCCAGAGAGAAACCCAGGCCAUCAAACUUAUGAAGCCUCUCCUCAUGCCUCCUUCCUGGGUCCCUGGCGUGGUACAUCCAACACUAUAGGUGUUUCCUCUGGGUCCUCAGAACCACACCCAGACUUCUUGCCUGAAGGUUUGAUCAAGGAGCCAGGGAAGAGAGCUUCGCACUAGGCCUAGCCUCAUCAGGGCCUGGCUUCCCAGCCUUCCGUUCUAAGCUACAGCAUCUCCUCCUCAGCCACGUUCCCAGGAGCCUCCUCCAUUCUUUGUGUGCUCAGCUCAUGACCUUCCCAGACGUGCAACAGGAAUCUACCAUGCACUCAUCCAUCUGGAAUGCAAGCUCUGUUAGGGGCCCGGCUAGAUGAUCUACCAGCAGAGAGCUCCUGACCCACCCGGAAGUACCCCAGACCUCUGCCCCUUCUAUACUGAGCAGUGCCCGGACUUCCAACCCCUUCCACCUCCGCCCCCUCCCAUACUCAGCACCGGAGACCUCUGC